UCCAAGAGAAUCUUCAAUAAUCGGCGUCUUAAUGGAAAAGGUAGAAGGAAACUAUUCGCUGAGGCUUUAAAUCUAAGUUUAUCGUGGGAUUUUUAACGACAUUCACCGGUUUCGUAAAGCGGUCGUUUGUUUUGGCGCAAUGCGGAAGUGUCGUCUUGAUGCAGAUUUUUGGCUAAAAAGUUGACGAAUUCUUCGUCUCACUACGUCUGUCAUUUGUUUUACGUUUGCCAUCAGUUUUAGGCAGUAACUGUUAGCUGUCGAGAGUACCGGAGCAGACUGUGAAGUAUUUCUAUAGAUCUAAAUAUGGUUCGUAAAAAAGGACAUAAUUUUUUGUCUGGCAUUCGGAAUUCCUACACUAGUGAUCCAUGAGGACUUUAUCAAGUUUCCAGAAUGGCAGGAAGGAAGGACUUAUUGAAUUGGACCACUUGACAAGGCAGCUUACAAAAGUCAGAAAUUUAAAAGCAGCCACUCGGGGACAGUAAAUUAAAGCUUGUCUACAUUUUCCAUAAAAUUUCCAAAAUAAAUACUGGAAAAAAAACAACAUGGAAAUACAUACGACAUCAACACAAAAUAGCACAGCACCAGAAUGAAUGCGGAAGUUGUCAUGAGUGGUGUGGCAUUGUUCCUGUUCAUUUAUUGUUUACAGAUUCCAAAAGUCUGAACCAGAUAUGGGUAGAGUACAGUUUGAGAAAUGUCUUGGUAGAACAGAUACUAAGGAAAUAAUAAAGAGCAGAACAGACCACAUUUCUCCUUCUUAUAACUGGUAAAGUUCCAAGUAAAGGCGAGUACAAUAAUGCAGCCCCAGUGAGAGUUUGUGAUGAGGUGUCAACUGUAAAUGUGUGGUCGUUAAAUGAUGUGCAGUCAGAUUGACAAGUAUUUGAAGUAACAUUAAUUUAUAAAUUAUCAAUUCUGAGAGAAAUUUUUGCUGAGCUUUGUGCAGGAUACUCUUAAAAAAUACGUGAACCAGAAUUUUAUAUUAUAAGUACAAUGUCAGAUGUACUCCAGACUUCACACAUAUGUUGAUGUUUAUACAUAUGUGGUGAUUAAUUUGUCAAGUGAAGAAAUUUUAUGAAUAAUGUUAGUGGGUGACAGAACAGAAGUACAAAGUCAAUUACAGAGGUCGACAACACUGAGUUUAGGAUGCAGAAAAAAUCCGGUGAUUCUGACGAAACAACAUACCUAGAAAGAUUAUACUAGUAAAAUGAACACUUUUAGUGUAUGGAAAAGUUUGGAAGCAGGUUACCAUUGACAGAAGAGACAGUAUUUACAGACUGGUCUACACUUAUUUUGAUUUGACUUUUACACGGUGAUUCCUCCAGUAAACAACUAGUGAUCUGAGAGAAUUGUGUUCAUUAUAUCAUACAGGUUUAGAGUGAAUGUAAAAUUAAUGUGUAUUUAAAUCAAUCAAAAUUUUUCAAAAUUGGAUGUUGAAACUUUACAGCUGUUUAGUAUUUCAGUAAUCAGUUAGGAUUUUUGAGUGAUUUCAAUAAAGUACAAAUUAAAAAAAAAAAAAGAAUCACUAUUGGCCAAGAUGAUGUGCUAUUGUAAAAGAUAGAAAGAAAAUUCACAAGUCACAUUAACUUGGUAAAAGGGAUUUUAACAGAAUUAAACUAUAAUUGGUGAAGGAAUCUGCAUGUUGUAUCAAAUAGCUAUAAUGUAUUUUGUAGUUCUUUGGAUGUAUCUUCUAUCUAUCUCUUUUCAAACUAAAUUUUAUCUCUUAAAUCUAUUGAAAUUGCCAUCAAAAUAAAAAUUUCUUUUAAAAACAAUAUAUUUAACAAUUAAAAGGUAUAUUCAACAAGCCAGUACUUUGUUACUAAUCUUAGUCAGUGGAAUUUAUUUUUAGACUUGUUCUAUUUUUUUUUUAUUCAGUUUUUGGAUCCCCAUUUACUAGUUACUGUACACAUUUUGGGAUUCCAGCAAUUUUCCACAUCCUCAUUACAAGGUAGUAUUGAUUUUUCAUUGGUCCAUAAAAUAAAACUGUUCUAUUAAUAGAUUUUCAGAAAAUCUGUUUGAGUUAUUUAUACCCAGUAUACAAAUUCAUGUACUUUUAUUUGAUUUGAACAUUACUGUUUAAUAUUAUCCUGAACAAAUUACAGGUUUUCUUUGCUUUAUAUUAGAGAAUUUUGGUAAAUUUCGUUGAUGAAAGGUCCAAGGUACUUUUCUCAAAUAGUCAAUUAAUAGAAAUUUUCAAAUAUAAUAUCUUGUGCAGUGAAUUAAAAAGAAAUUUAUUUAUUUCAGUACUAGUCAGUUCUGAACUUGAAAGAUACUUUGAUAGGUGUUAAGCUCGACUAUUCGUAGAAUAGGGGAGCUAUCCUACUCGCCCUGGCGUGAGCGUGAGCGUCACACAAAUGUUAAAGUUUGCGUACCACCCCAAAUAUUUUCAAAGUGCAUUAAGAUAUUGCUUUCAUAUUUUGCAUACUUGUUUACCAUCAUGACCCCAGUCUGUAAAAAAGAGGAGGCAACUCUGUCAAGCGUUUUGACUGAAUUAUGGCCCCUUUUCGACUUAGAAUAAAUGUUAAAGUUUGCGUACCACCCCAAAUAUUUUCAAAGUGCAUUAAGAUAUUGCUUUCAUAUUUUGCAUACUUGUUAACCAUCAUGACCCCAGUCUUUAAAAAAGAGGAGGCAACUCUGUCAAGCAUUUUGACUGAAUUAUGGCCCCUUUUCGACUUAGAAUAAAUGUUAAAAUUUGCGUACCACCCCAAAUAUUUUCAAAGUCCAUUGAGGUAUUGCUUUCAUAUUUUGCAUACUUGUUUACCAUCAUGAUCCCAGUCUGUAAAAAGGAGGAGGCAACUCUAUCAAGCAUUUUGACUGAAUUAUGGCCCCUUUUCGACUUAGAAUAAAUGUUAAAGUUUGCGUACCACCCCAAAUAUUUUCAAAGUCCAUUGAGAUAUUGCUUUCAUAUUUUUCAUACUUGUUUACCAUCAUGACCCCAGUCUGUAAAAAGGAGGAGGCAACUCUUUCAAGCAUUUUGACUGAAUUAUGGCCCCUUUUCGACUUAGAAUAUGCUUAUAGUAAUGUUAAAGUUUUACUCAUUGCUUAUCAGCUCUUGUUGGUCUACUACACACUUUAUAUAUUUCUAUGGCUUGAUUAGAAGUAGCCUGUUGGUUUAAUUCAGUAAUUUACUAUAGGAAGAAUUAUUUAAGGUAGCUCAACACAACUUCUGGACAUUAAGGUGAUUUAUUAUCAUAUAAUGAUAUAAGAUAAUUUUCAUUGAGUCCUACAUACCAGAACAUUUUUGAGUGACAAUUAGAAAUAUUUUAGAUUACUUGGGGUGGUUCACUACCUGUUAGAAAUAUUUAAGGUGGUUAACCAUCUGUUAGAAAAUGAUAAUACAGUACAGUACUGGGACUUGUUUUUGCAGGCAAUUAUCACAACAUGAAAUUUUAUAGGUGCUGAAUUGAAGGUCAUUUCCUCCAUGGUUAUUGUCGUGGUGUUUAUAACUCCCCCGCCACAAGUGGUGGGGGUUAUAGGAAUGGUCUCUGUCCAUCCUUCCCUACUUCCGUCCUUCCAUCUUCCGUCCUUCCGUAACAUUUUGUGUCCGCUCUGUAUCUCCUAAACCCCUUAACAUGUUGAAGGAUUUUCAUGAAACUUGGUUCAAAUAAUCACCUCAUCAAGACAAUGUGCAGAACCUAUGAGUCUCCCAUGUCGGUUCAAGGUCAAGGUCACAACUCAAAGCCUUCAAUUUUGUGUCUGCUCUGUAUCUCCUAAACCCCUUCAAGUGUGCUGUUAACAGACAGCUUUUGUGAUACUGUAAAACCAUUUAAUUUCGUGGGCAUGAAAUUUCAUGGUAUUGGUCAAAAUGGCAAUUUCGUGGGGUUAUGAAUUCGUGGAUUUCAACUUUUGAACAUAAAUUGAAUGGGAAUUUUACUUGUUCGUUGGGAUUAAAUUUCGUGGAUUGACUCAACCACGAAAUCCACGAAAAUUUGUCCCCCACGAAAAUUAAUGAUUUCACAGUAUAUCAGGAGCACAUAAUUCCGGACAAGCUGGUCUGAUCAUACCCAAAAUCGAGUUAUUCCAAGAGCUUGUGCUCGUAUACAUUGCCAUUAAAUCUGAUCAAAAUUGUUAUGAAAAUGUUCAAACUAGAGCGUUAAAAUUGUCAAAUUUGCAACAUUUUAUAUAACAGCGACAGAUAACUCUGGACUUGCUAGUCUGAAAAUACCUGAAAUCUAGGUCUGGCAAGACCCUAUGGCCAUACACAUUGUCUAUUUUAGACAAUUUUCUAAGUUUAUUCAAGAUUGCUUUAAAUAAAAAUGAUACAGUUGUAAAAAAUGGGUAAAUAUUGCUAUUUUUUACUAUAUCAGGGGCACAUUACUCUUGAUAUACUGGUUGGAUCAUCCCCAUAAUGCAACACAUUCCAGAUUAUGUAGCCAUGCAUAUUGUUUUUUUACUUUGGUGAAGAUUGUUAUAGUAAUAUUCAUGCUGGAGUGUUAACAAUGCUAUAUAAUUCAUACUUAACUUUAAAAAGUGGGUGGGGUAAUAUUACAUCUGUUUUUUUAUGAUGAAAUGUCGAUGUAAAUGGUUUGGAACUAUUUUGUUAUUUAAAAUUAUGUUUUGCACACAUCUUCAUAUUGUUUAGGCGUUUUUUUUGAUGAAAAUAUUUGUUGUUAUAGCUUAUUUGCCAGCAAACCCCAAUAUUCUAAAAUUUUGGUACUUUCAUGGUAAAAUACAGAAUAUCUCUCUUAUAUGUCCGGUAACCCCCAAUUUUUUUACCCUUAUUUUGAAGCAGUUUCGAGACACAAUAUGUACAAAAAGUAUUUCAAAAAUCUUAAUUGUAGAAAUAAUGUUAUGCUAUCUUUAGACUGACACAAGUACUGGUCCCAUUGGAAAAAAGUGGGUGGGGUAAUUAUAUUGCCUUGUGAAAAUGAGUAACAGUAUUAUGUGAAAAUCAUUAAAAUUUCAUACUGACUUCAUAGCAUAUUCAAACUGAAUUGUUAGAAAUACAAUUAUUUUACAACUGAUAAA